UCCGACUUGACGCCGGCAGUCUCCCAAGAGUCCCCACCAUUACGUGCUGGCAACAUGGGACAGGGGUUGCGCUCGUUGCGGGACUUAAGGCAACACCUCACGGCACGAGCUGACGACAGCCAUGCACCACCUGUGCGGGCUCCGUAGAGCGCCGUGUUUCCACGGCUUCACCCCGCAUGUCAAGCCCAGGUAAGGUUCUUCGCGUUGCAUCGAAUUAAGCCACAUGCUCCGCCGCUUGUGCGGGCCCCCGUCAAUUCCUUUGAGUUUCAGCCUUGCGGCCGUACUCCCCAGGCGGGGCACUUAUCGCGUUAGCUACGGCACUGACGGGGUCGCUCCCCCCAGCACCUAGUGCCCAUCGUUUACGGCGUGGACUAC
rnacentral:misc_RNA from 1 species